rnacentral:rRNA from 1 species
AUUGAACGCUGGCGGCAGGCCUAACACAUGCAAGUCGAACGAGUGGCGGACGGGUGAGUAAUGUCUGGGAAACUGCCUGAUGGAGGGGGAUAACUACUGGAAACGGUAGCUAAUACCGCAUACCAUCAGAUGUGCCCAGAUGGGAUUAGCUAGUUGGUGGGGUAACGGCUCACCAAGGCGACGAUCCCUAGCUGGUCUGAGAGGAUGACCGGCCACACGGGAACGUAGACACGGCCCAGACUCCUACGGGAGGCAGCAGUGGGGAAUAGGGCGCAAUGGGCGCAAGCCGGAUGCAGCCAUGCCGCGUGUAGGAAGAAGGCCUUCGGGUUGUAAAGUACUUUCAGCAGGGAGGCGUUACCCGCAGAAGAAGCACCGGCUAACUCCGUGCCAGCAGCCGCGGUAAUAC